AGUCGAGCGGAGCUUAUCCUUCGGGAUAAGCUUAGCGGCGGACGGGUGAGUAACACGUAGGCAACCUGCCCCUUAGCCUGGGAUAACUACCGGAAACGGUAGCUAAUACCGGAUAAUCCCUUUCCUCGCCUGAGGGAAGGAUAAAAGGCGGAGCAAUCUGCUGAUAAGGGAUGGGCCUGCGGCGCAUUAGCUAGUUGGUGAGGUAACGGCUCACCAAGGCGACGAUGCGUAGCCGACCUGAGAGGGUGAACGGCCACACUGGGACUGAGACACGGCCCAGACUCCUACGGGAGGCAGCAGU
rnacentral:rRNA from 1 species